rnacentral:rRNA from 1 species
GACGAACGCUGGCGGCGUGCUUAACACAUGCAAGUCGAACGAAGUGGCGAACGGGUGAGUAACGCGUAAUCAACCUGCCCUUCAGAGGGGGCUAACAGUUGGAAACGACUGCUAAUACCGCAUACUGAAGGAGGGGCUUUCGUCUGAUUAGCUGGUUGGGGGGGUAACGGCCGACCAAGGCGAUGAUCAGUAGCCGGGCUGAGGUGGUGAACUGCCACAUGGGGACUGGGACACGGCCCAUACUCCUACGGGAGGCAGCAGUGGGGAAACUUCCGAAAUGGACGAAAGUCUGACGGAGCAACGCCGCGUUAGUGAUGACGGCCUUCGGUUUGUAAAGCUCUGUUAAUCGGGACGCGGUACCGGAAUAGAAAGCCACGGCUAACUACGUGCCAGCAGCCGCGGUAAUAC